rnacentral:rRNA from 1 species
UACGUAGGGGGCAAGCGUUGUCCGGAUUUAUUGGGCGUAAAGAGCGUGUAGGCGGCCAGGUAGGUCAGCUGUGAAAACUCGAGGCUCAACCUCGAGACGCCGGUUGAAACCAUCUGGCUAGAGUCCGGAAGAGGAGAGUGGAAUUCCUGGUGUAGCGGUGAAAUGCGCAGAUAUCGUAAGGAAGACCAGUGGCGAAGGCGAGUCCCUGGACAGAUCCUGACGCUGAGGCACGAAAGCUAGGGGAGCAAACAGG